GAGGGUAUAGCUCAGUGGUAGAGUGCAGUGUUUAGCACACAUGAGGUCUUGGGUUCAAUCCCUGGUACCUCCA
rnacentral:tRNA from 1 species